rnacentral:rRNA from 1 species
AGAGUUUGAUCAUGGCUCAGAGCGAACGCUGGCGGCAGGCUUAACACAUGCAAGUCGAGCGGGCGUAGCAAUACGUCAGCGGCAGACGGGUGAGUAACGCGUGGGAACGUACCUUUUGGUUCGGAACAACACAGGGAAACUUGUGCUAAUACCGGAUAAGCCCCUACGGGGAAAGAUUUAUCGCCGAAAGAUCGGCCCGCGUCUGAUUAGCUAGUUGGUAGGGUAAUGGCCUACCAAGGCGACGAUCAGUAGCUGGUCUGAGAGGAUGAUCAGCCACAUUGGGACUGAGACACGGCCCAAACUCCUACGGGAGGCAGCAGUGGGGAAUAUUGGACAAUGGGGGCAACCCUGAUCCAGCCAUGCCGCGUGAGUGAUGAAGGCCCUAGGGUUGUAAAGCUCUUUUGUGCGGGAAGAUAAUGACGUACCG